CCUACGGGUGGCAGCAGUGGGGAAUAUUGGACAAUGGGCGGAAGCCUGAUCCAGCGACGCCGCGUGGGCGAUGAAGGUCUUCGGAUUGUAAAGCCCUGUGAGACGGGAAGAAAAGUGCGCGGGAACAAUACCCCGUGUAUUUGACGGUACCGUCAGAGGAAGCACCGGCUAACUCUGUGCCAGCAGCCGCGGUAAUACAGAGGGUGCAAGUGUUGUCCGGAAUUACUGGGUGUAAAGGGCGCGUAGGUGUUUGGAUGUGUCAGAUGUAAAAUUUCAUAGCUUAACUAUGGAACUGCAUUUGAAACUAUCCGAAUAGAGUGCAGUAGGGGAAAGUGAAAUUCCCGGUGUAGAAGUAAAAUUCGUAGAUAUCGGGAGGAAUACCGGUGGCGAGGGCGACUUUCGGGACUGUAACUGA
rnacentral:rRNA from 1 species